AGCGAACGCUGGCGGCAGGUCUAACACAUGCAAGUCGAACGGCAGCACAGGAGAGCUUGCUCUCUGGGUGGCGAGUGGCGGACGGGUGAGGAAUAUAUCGGAAUCUACCCUUUCGUGGGGGAUAACGUAGGGAAACUUACGCUAAUACCGCAUACGAACUGAGGUUGAAAGCGGCGGACCGCAUGGCGUCGCGCGGAUGGAUGAGCCGAUAUCCGAUUAGCUAGUUGGCGGGGUAAAGGCCCACCAAGGCGACGAUCGGUAGCUGGUCUGAGAGGAUGAUCAGCCACACUGGAACUGAGACACGGUCCAGACUCCUACGGGAGGCAGCAGUGGGGAAUAUUGGACAAUGGGCGCAAGCCUGAUCCAGCCAUGCCGCGUGUGUGAAGAAGGCCUUCGGGUUGUAAAGCACUUUUGUUGGGAAAGAAAAGCGGUCGGUUAAUACCCGGUCGUUCUGACGGUACCCAAAGAAUAAGCACCGGCUAACUUCGUGCCAGCCGCCGCAGUAA
rnacentral:rRNA from 1 species